rnacentral:lncRNA from 1 species
UUAACAUAUACACAUGAAGAAAUUAAGCUUUCAUAAUAUGAUUGAAGAAGGGACAUAUUUGUGGAGAAUUGUGCCUAUGAUAAUGUAUAUGCCUUCCCCCCUCUCUAUUAAUAUAUAACAGGCUGUGCAGAUAUUUCCUGGUUCAAUUCAAACAAUAUUUUUUGAGGACUUACACUUUGUGCUGGGAGUCAUUCAUUCAUUCAUUCAUUCAUCUGAGCACCUACAACCAACAGAGGCACUGUUUUAAAUCUUCCUCACUAUAUAUUGUAGAGUAGGACUAGAUAGUAAACAAGAUAAAUAAGGAAACUGUAAGAAUGUUAGAAACUGGCAAGUGCCUAAGGUAAAAGUAAUGAAGAAAAAAAGGAUUAUAAGUACUGGUUUGGGGUGGAAGUUGUCAUUUAAAAAAAAAUUUAAUUUUUUUAGUUUUUGAUGGACACGAUACCUUUAUUUUAUUUAUUCAUUUAUUUUUUAUGUGGUGCUGAGGAUCCAACCCAGGGCCUCUCACGUGGUAGCCAAGCGCUCUACUGCUGAGCCAUUACCCCAGCCCCAAAGUUGUCAUUUAAAUAGAGCAGCCAGAGCAAGUCUUACUAGGAAGGUGUGUUUUAAGUAAAGAUCAGAAGACUACAUCAGGGACCUCAUUACCAGGACCUCGGCAGGGAAGAUCAUUCCACGUGAGGGAAUGGACAUGUGCAAAGGAUCUGCAGCAGGAGCAUGCUGAAGAAUUUGAGGAAUUGCAAAGUGACCCGUGUGGCUGAGGUGGAGUGACAGGGAGAGUAGUUGGAGAUGAUCUCAGAGGGAAGGAGAUGGGGGCCCGGAUGAGCUAGGUCAUGUGGAGUUAUGCAAGAUUUUGGAUAUUGGAAAUCAAUAAAUUGGGAAAUCAUAGUGGACACUGCCAGUGCUCUGUCUGGAUCCCCUUAACUGGGUGCAUUUACCCCCAGCUGUUAUGUUACUCCCCACCCCUACCCACCCUUCACCCCAGGCAGCUCAUCACCAAACACUGACAAGCACUGUGGUACUAAAGGUGGGGCCAACUCUGCAGUACAAACUCAGAGCUCCCCAUGGUCAGGUUGAAGCUAGUCUCCAGCUGAGAUCACAUCCUCCUUGAGCACCACCACCCCCACCCUGUGGCAUACAUCCUUUCUUCCUAUCUGUUCUACUGAGAGCAUUCCUACAUAAACCACUUGGCCAAGAAUCCGUUUCCAGGGAGCUUAGCAUAACUGGAUAUGGUCCUGGGAGGCAGAUGUCAGAAAGGCCCCUGGAGUUGUCACUCUCCAUCUGGAUGCAAUGAGGAUCCCUCACUGGUGGUCAGUGCAGGAUUGCUGGUCCCUGGCAAUCUGCAGCAAUGUGAUUACUAAGCUUUUCAACAAUGGUAAACUGAGGCAGGAUACAGGUGAAAUGUUAUUACUGAAUAGCCUAACAUCCCAGAGAGCUGAGAGGUAUAGAAAAACAUAACCAUAAGCACUUAAUCAUGUUUUUUUUAAGAGAGAGGUGAGAGAGAGAAAGAGACAGAGAGAAUUUUUAAUAUUUAUUUUUUAGUUUUUGGCGGACACAACAUCUUUGUAUGUGGUGCUGAGGAUCGAACCCAGGCCGCACAGAUGCCAGGCGAGCGCGUUACCGCUUGAGCCACAUCCCCAGCCCCACUUAAUCAUGUUUUGAGGUAUAGGAUGGUACCUUGAUUUGUCCCAAUAUCAACUCUGCAUUGGAUUCCCAAGUUCAAGGCCUAUGGCGCAACUGAAGGGAUGCUGCUUUACUGGACGCUCUGAAGAUGGGGCAGAAGCACUCCCAGCUCUGCCCUCACUGACCUGAUGCACACAGCACACACACAGGCAUUCUUCCCACUGUUCUGGUUUGGAGAGUUUCUACUGCAAAUAACAGAAGCCAGUUCAAAACGGAUUAAACAACAGAGAGUUCUUAUAUAACCAGAUAUCCAGGGUGGGUUUAUUCUUCCGUGACUCAAUCAAGAA